UGACCUUAAUAACCUAAAUAAAAAUAUAAUUUUUUUAAUUAUAUAUUGGUAAAAUUGAAUUUAGAGGGGCUUUAAAGAAAAUGAAGUGUGCAAAGCUAUUGGACCUAAUGUUAUUUCAAUAAAGGUGUGGAAAUGCUUAGGAGAUGAAGGAAUUUCUUGGCUUGUGAAACUUUUCAAUAUCAUUUUGAAGACUAAAAGAUGUCAGAUGAGUGGAGGAGUGUGUUGAUCCUAUUUUAAGAAUAUAAGUAAUGCACAAGGUGUGCAAAUUAUAUAGGAAUUAAGUAUUUGCAUAUGUGAUACUUCAAAUAUUUGCAUUUGCUGCUCCUGCAUUCAAUUGGGGACUCUAGAAAUUUUACCUAUUAUUUUUUCUAUUUUUCUGUAUUUCCAUUUUCUCCUAGGAAUCUUGAAUAUUCUGGAUUAUAGACUACCAGUUUCCUCAUGUGAAGAAUCAUUUGUAUUUUUAUUUAAUGUAUCUCUUGUUUAUUGUCUUUCUUAUUUAAGUUUUUUUAUUUAUUUGUUUUCUUCCUGCUGUGUAGAAAUCAACUUUAUAUAAUGGUAUUUUUCUCCCUGUUGAUGAUGAAGAAAAAAUAAUGGUGUUUUUCUUCCUAAUGAUGAUGAAGAAAAAAUAAGAAUAAAUUUCCCUCUGAUAUUCUACAUUGUACUUUUCCCUUAUUAUAUUGUCCUUGUAUAUCCUUACCAUUUCUAAACAUGGAAUUGCUUUUGAUAGAUUAUAGAAGCCACAAAUCCAAUGCAAUUUAAAGUCAUGAAUUGAUGUUUCAUAAUAGCAAUGGCGACCAAGAAAAUUCCGCCAAUCAUUAUAUCAUUAGGCACUAAAUGAGUAUGCAAAACUAUCUUUAACGGGCACAAUCAAUAAUGACGUUCAUCAAUGGAAAAGGCAAGGAUGAUCAUCUCUGGCUAAAAGUGUCUUCCCAAGUUAAGAUCUGUAUUUUAAAACGUUGAAUUUGAAAAUAUUUGUUGCUUUAUGAAUACUAUUGAUGGUUAAAUAGGUCAAAAUUUCAUGUGCAAUGGAUUGUAAAAAAAAUUGAGAUGCCGGCAAGUCAACUUCCUUAGAUGAUGGAAUUACUACGUACUCCUGGAAACCAAAGGUGUACUUCAUGAUAUUCAACAAGGUGAUAUUUCUACUACGUAAAUUUUAUAACACCCUCACUCGAAUUUGGCAAGAAUUAGAUAUUUUUGAAGAACUUAAUUGGAAAUGCCAAAUGAUGUAGCCAGGUAUCAGAAUAUUGUUGAAAAGAAUGGAGUGUUCCAAAUUUUCCUCAAACUUAAUAAGAAUCUUAAUGAAGUUAUAGGAAGAAUUUUUUGGAAUAAAAAUCUUAAAAUUCAUUUGAGAAGUCUUUUAUGAAAUGUGGAUAGAAGAAAGUCACAAGAACUUCAUAAUGGGAAAUCUAAGAGCUAAGCAUGCAUCAAUUAUUCGAGAGAGCUCGACUCUUGUUACAAGAGCUAAAAGGUUUUCUAUCGGCCUUGGUAUGAUCAUGGUUGGAAAAUUGGGCACACAAAGGAAACACGAUGCAAACUUUAUGGAAAGCCUAUGGGCUGAACCCUAGCAAACAAAUUCCAAACAAAGAAGGCCAUGAUUUUUUUGUCACCACCGAUAUUCAAUCAAAACAACAAUCAAAUCCUUUCAUACAAGAAAAGUUUGAUAUGUUAUAAAAGUUGUUUAGUUAACUCUAGCCAAUUCUCGAACACUUGAAAUUAGCACUGGUUUUAUUUCAAUAAAAUUUAUGGCUUUAAAUGUUUCUUUUAACAAAAUGAAGAAAUGCCUUCCUUUGAUUAUAGAUUCUAGAUCAUCAAAUCACAUGACAAUGAAUUCUUAUUUCACAUCCCGUAUCCUAAAUGAUAUAUCAUAUGGAUUUGCAUAUGGGCUAAUUUAUCGUGAUUGUAUUUGAACAAUAUUACUUUUGUCAACAUCCCCAUCAUAUCAAAGAAGAAAACUUGAUAAGGCUAUUUUUCAGAGCUACUCCUGCCCAUCAAAGGUACAAAUGUUAUCCUUCUUUCACCCAUAAACGUUAUAGCGCUAUGAAUGUAACAUUCCUUGAAAAUCAACAUUUUUAUUCAUAUUAAGGGGAGAAUUCUAACUAUUUCCAAGAAUAGUAAUUUUGUGGAUUGAUUUUAUCACCAAUUGAGGUAAACCAAUUGUCUUAAUUUUAGCCAUUGAUUAGCAACCCAUCUAUAGUACAUAAGACACCUUAUUGUUGAGAAUUUAUUAUUUUGCUUACUUGCAAGAAAGAGGAGAGUACCAGUCUUCUUUCUUCUGUGUGGAAUGAAGAGUGGAUAUGAUCGAGAAUGAAGCAAAGGCCUAAGUUAUCUUUCUUAAUUCUCUGUGAACUUUGAAGUUGUCUACCUUGGGGCCUAAGCUGCGUUAAAGUUGCAUGUGAGUCUCUUGAUGAACGGAUUGAGCUUCUGAGCCAGCGCAUUACAGAACUAGAGAAAUUGAAUUCAGCCGAGUCCCCAAAAGCUGUUGAGAGCAUAGACUAGAUG